rnacentral:lncRNA from 1 species
CUACCCAUGAGUAGCAAUUCCACCAGAUGUCCAUUCUUUCUUUUCAUGCAUCCUGACAGUCUAAGCACCUGGACCAGAACCUGGCAUACACUGUAGCAGACUCCCCAAGAACGCCGGCUAAUGGGACUUAAAUGUUACAACAAAGAAGCUCUGGGAAGCCUCAGACCAUUUUCAUCCCUCCAAAACAAGGACCAGGGUAUUGCUAAAGGUUUCAAGGCAUGAUAACAGUCAUGAGCAUGCAGAAUUGGACCUCUGAGGCUGCAGGGCCACAAAGGAGCAUGGAAGAAGAGCCUGGUUUAGUUAUUUCUCAAUCCAGCUGGGACCACUGAAUGUGUAUCUGGGUCCCCA